rnacentral:lncRNA from 1 species
CUUCGUCCUCAACCCAAGCCAACACUAUCACGUCCAUUGUGAACUGGAUCUAAAUCAAGCUAGAAUAACAUAAGAUCAACUGCAUGUUCAACUCGUUCCACAUUUUCAGCAUUUCGCAAUUUCAAUUAUGUGCAGUGUUAUCAUGUGACAAGUAUACAGAGAGGCAACAAUUUACAUGUAGGACGGCCUUUUACCUGCAGAAUAAGAUUAUGUUAUUU